AUACGAAGGGGGCUAGCGUUGUUCGGAAUUACUGGGCGUAAAGCGCGCGUAGGCGGAUUGGUCAGUUAGGGGUGAAAUCCCAGGGCUUAACCCUGGAACUGCCUCUAAUAUUGCCAGUCUUGAGUUCGGGAGAGGUGAGUGGAAUUCCUAGUGUAGAGGUGAAAUUCGUAGAUAUUAGGAAGAACACCAGUGGCGAAGGCGGCUCACUGGCCCGAUACUGACGCUGAGGCGCGAAAGCGUGGGGAGCAAACAGGAUUAGAAACCCCAUAGUCC
rnacentral:rRNA from 1 species